UAAUUUUAAUAUUUAUUUGAAGCUUUGUGUACCAAAUAAUUGUUUUUAUGCCCCCGGUAGGGUGGCAUAUAGCAGUUGAACUGUCAGUCUGUCCGUCCGUCCGAACACUUUAAUGGUCAUAACUUUUUCAAUAUUUAACAUAGCACCGUUAUAUUUGGCAUGCAUGUGCAUCUCAUUGAGCUGCACAUUUUGAGUGGUGAAAGGUGAAGGUCAAGGUCAUCCUUCAAGGUCAAAGGUCUAAUAUAUGGCAUAUGUCCAUCCGUCCGAAAACUAACAUUGGUCAUAACUUUUUCACUAUUGACGAUAGCAAUUUGAUAUUUGGCAUGUAUGUGUAUCUCCUGAGGCUGAACAUUUUGAGUGGUGAAAGGUGAAGGUCAAAUGUCUAAUAUAUGGCGUCUGUCCGUCCAUCCGAAAACUUUAACAUUGGCCAUAACUUGUUCACUAUUGAUGAUAGCAACUUGAUAUUUGGCAUGCAUGGGUAUCUCCUGGAGCUGAACAUUUUGAGUGAUGAAAGGUGAAGGUCAAGGUCAUUCUUCAAGGUCAAAUGUCAAAUAUUCCGUCCGUCUGAAAAUUUUAACAUUGGCCAUAACUUUUUAAAUAUUGAAGAUAGCAACUUGAUAUUUGGCAUGCAUGUAUAUCUCAUGGAGCUGCACAUUUUGAGUGAUGAAAGGUCAAGGUCAUCCUUCAAGGUCAAAGGUCAAAAUUUGCAAUAUUGAAGAUAGCAACUAGAUAUUUGGCAUGCAUGUGUAUCUCAUGGAGCUGCACAUUUUUGAGUGGUGAAAGGUCAAGGUCAUCCUUCAAGGUCAAAGUUUGAAUACAUGUACAUGGCUUCAAAGCGGUGCAAUAGGGGGCAUUGUGUUUCCAACAAACGCAUCUCUUGUUUUUAAAGAAAUGCUUAAAACUCCACUGAAUAUUGCUUCAAUACCCAAAAAGAUAUUUUACCCUAACAGUUUCAUGGUAUUUACAUGUACACGUCAUGUAUAUUAUUACACUGAUAAAACAUGUAUUAUGGAAUCAAGCAAAAUACCCUUUCUGCUGUAACCAAAA